rnacentral:rRNA from 1 species
UUGGUGUGAAUUGCAGAAUCCCGUGAACCCAUCGAGUCUUUGAACGCAAGUUGCGCCCGAAGCCUUUUUGGCCGAGGGGCACGCCUGCCUGGGCGUC